AGCGCCCCUCAGUGCACAGUCCCAGCGGCCUCGCUGGGCCGGCGCCUCCCGACCAAGUAAUGAUGAAACUCCUGCUCUGGUCCGGGCUACCGGUGAACAGCGCCCAGCGGGCCGGGCCCCCAACCUCGCUCCUGAGCCUGAACAUCCCCCCAACCCCACCGUGAGAAUUCAGCGAAGAGUAAAAGCUGGAAAAAGUUGCGUGUCUUAGGCUAAGCAGAACAAAGUGGGGUGACGGCUCCCCGGCUAGGAACAGAGAUGCCCUUAGGGAGCCCUCUGAUGGAAGAGCUCUCCGCUUAAGAAGGUCACCACUCCCUUACACUCAGCCCCCCUCAAUCUGAUUCCCUGCUAUGCCUGCCAUCACCACUGGCCAGUUUUACCACAUGCUUCUCAAGACCCAAGGCACAAUAGGCAUAAAGUUGUCCUGAAAAGGACAAGAGGAGUGUCAGAAGUAGGAAUGGCAGUUGAAGGAGCUUCGUCUGCCAGCAGAAAGCUGAAAUGACAGGAGAUGUUGCUGAGAUGGGUGCAUUAAAGUUUAGGCUUUCCAGAGUUUAUAUUGCUAACAACUUGAAAGGAAAAAAGCUAACUAGAGAACUGACUGGUCUUAUUUGUUUUAGAUUCUGGGCUUUACUAAGACUUCCUACUCUCAGAAUCUCUGGACUAUAAACGCUGGGUGGGGUGGGAGCUGGGAAUGUUAUUCUGGAAAAUUAAUCACAAAUGAAAAGAAAAUCAACUCUAAGACUCCAGUUAGAAGAUUUUUGAAAAUGGCAGAACAUGACUGGCCUUCAUUCAAGUCAGAAUAUUUAAAGCAAUCCUUGCUAAGAAGAACUUGAUUUUGUAUAAGCAGUCCCUUAAAUACAGUUGCUUCUCAAGAAAACCACACACAAUUGAUGUUUGAAUGGCUUUAUUUACAAACAUCUCACUCCGUAAGCCUCUGCAGGUAUUUCUAGCCUCCCAGGGGCCACUGUCCCGUUUCACCUGUAAUUUGGAUCACAAUUCUGUUUGUUGUCACACACAUCAUAUGAACUGCUUUUCAUGCUGCUUUUAUCCACAAAGCUUUACAAGCUUUAAUGGCAGCUCUAUGUAUGACAACUUUAUAAAGAUCUGCCAAAAGGU
rnacentral:lncRNA from 1 species